CUUUCCAUGGCAACACCCUGAUGGCCGAAAGUUACUACCCUUAUUCCAGAAAUCUCUGCAUAAUCUGUCGGUUUGCAUAUAAUUAACAGUGGCUAUAAAUGUGAGUGCAGCCCUGUCCUGUCCUCAGCUGCUGCCCUGGGCGCACUGCCUUGCGGGUCACUGUGGCUGCUCCUGUGCUUCAGCGGGACUAGAAGCUGCCGCCCACGGGCAGCGGGGAAGAAAUCUGGGCAAAGCCAUGAGCCCUCCGAGGCUGAGCUCCAGUUUAGGGGCUCACCUGCCUUGCAUCGUUCCGAGUCCUGUACUGGACUGCAUCAGGCCGCGUCUCCUCAGGAAAUGGGAUCUUGGUUCCUGGCCAGCACCCGGCCUCUCUGCACCUCAUAGACACUGCAAAUCCUUACUCAGUGACUUCAGGGAUACAGGUUUCCAGGGUCCUUCUCUCGGAUGGAGCCUGUCCAACUGCACUCUGGGGAAGGGAGAGAAACAGGAAGGCGUCGCCUUCACGCUCCGGUCACUCAGGAAGGUGGCUGUGCAUGCCUGAGAGCUUGCACCGGGGUGGAGGUAGCCACGGUCCCGAGACACGCCCU
rnacentral:lncRNA from 10 species